rnacentral:rRNA from 1 species
CCCAGGUCAGGCGGGACUACCCGCUGAGUUUAAGCAUAUAAAUAAGCGGAGGAGAAGAAACUUACAAGGAUUCCCCUAGUAACGGCGAGCGAACCGGGAAGAGCCCAGCUUGAGAAUCGGGCGGCUGUGCCGUUCGAAUUGUAGUCUGGAGAGGCGUCCUCAGCGACGGACCGGGCCCAAGUUCCCUGGAAAGGGGCGCCUGGGAGGGUGAGAGCCCCGUCCGGCCCGGACCCUGUCGCCCCACGAGGCGCCGUCAACGAGUCGGGUUGUUUGGGAAUGCAGCCCAAAUCGGGCGGUAGACUCCGUCCAAGGCUAAAUACAGGCGAGAGACCGAUAGCGAACAAGUACCGCGAGGGAAAGAUGAAAAGGACUUUGAAAAGAGAGUCAAAGAGUGCUUGAAAUUGC